UUUGGCUACCGUGGAUAUGUGUUUACUAUUUGGCGUUAUACACAGUCCCCUGUAGUUGAGA
rnacentral:pre_miRNA from 1 species